AUGGCGCCUUGUGAGGAAGAGGAAGUGCCUCGUCCCGGCCCGGCACUCAUCGUGGGCGCCACCGGCUACAUCGGUCGCUUCGUGGCGGAGGCCUGCCUCGACAGCGGGCGCAGGACCUUCAUCCUCGUCCGCCCCGGCAACGCCUGCCCCGCGCGCGCGGCCUCCGUCGACGCGCUCCAGCGCAAAGGCGCCUUGGUCGUCGAGGGCCGCGUCGACGGGAAAGACGGCGGGAGGUCCGUGGAGACGGCGCUCCGCGCGCACGGCGUCGAGGUGGUGAUCUCGGUGAUGGGCGGCGCCAACAUCCUCGACCAGCUCGGCCUCAUCAAAGCCAUCCAAGCCGCCGGCACCGUCAAGAGGUUUCUGCCGUCGGAGUUCGGGCACGACGUGGACAGGGCGCGCCCGGUGGGGGCCGGGCUGGGGUUCUACGAGGAGAAGCGGCGCGUCCGGCGGGCGGCGGAGGCGGCCGGCGUGCCCUACACCUACAUCUGCUGCAACUCCAUCGCCGGCUGGCCCUACUUCGACAACAUGCACCCGUCCGAGGUGCGCCCGCCGCUCGACCGCUUCCAGAUCUACGGCGAUGGCACCGUCAGAGCGUUCUUCGUGGCUGGAACUGACAUUGGCAAGUUCACGGUCAAGGCCGCGUACGACGCCCGGAGCGUCAACAAGGUCGUCCACUUCCGCCCCGCCUGCAAUCUCCUCAGCACCAACGAGAUGGCCUGCCUCUGGGAGAGCAAGAUCGGCCGCACACUGCCGCGCGUCACGCUUAGCAAGGAGGACUUGCUCGCCAUGGCUGCGGAAGACAUCAUCCCGGAGAGCAUAGUCGCUUCGCUCACGCACGACAUCUUUAUAAACGGCUGCCAGACCAACUUCGGCAUCGACGGGUCGAGAGACGUUGAAGUAUCAAGCCUUUACCCUGACAUUCCAUUCAGGACAAUUGACGAAUGCUUCGACGACUACGCUCAUGGCCUCCACCUGGAAGAAGAAGCUGAAGAGAGCAAGAAAAGUAACGCGCCGAUGGUGGAAAGAUUGGCAGUUUAUCCUACGUGUGCUUAG
rnacentral:rRNA from 1 species